UUCUUGUUGCCCCUUCGAAGGCAAAAAACAAGUCCAAGUAUAACGAAGAGUACUGCAAGUGAAGAUCCUAUAACUAUACCUAUAAUAGGUCCAGUAUUCAACCCAUUCUUUUUAUUUCCGUUGUGUUGAUUAGGAAGUGGGCGAUCAGAAUCCGGAGAUUGGCCAGGCGGAGGGCGAUUUCUGUUAUUGCGAGAGCUAACUGGAGGCGGCGAGGUGUACGGCGGUGGCGGUGGAGCUGGGCCAUUGGCAAAUGCAUUUCCAUCAUAACUGUUUUCGAUAUACAAGGCACACUAACAAAAUAAGAUCAUUAUAAUUACACAAGAUAUUGAAAUGCAUGCAGUCACUCACAUAAAUUUAGGCAUAGAGCUUAGUUCCUUUGGUAUCCACCCACUAAAUUGGUUGUUGGCAACAUUUCUGCAGAAAAUAAUAUCAGCAAGAAUAUUUACAUGAUAUCCUAAAUGGUAUCAGGAAUCUAAAUGGGAGAGCGAAGAGUAGGGGAGAGAUCUUUACAAGUUAGUCAAAGGCAAACCAACUAAGAUGUUGAGAGAACCAGUAAGUUGGUUGUUUUGCACAUGGCUGCCAAAAGACAAAUAUUCAGACGAAUUAAGCAAUGAACACAACGCCCACAAAAGAGAGGUCCAGUAUUCAACCCAUUCUUUUUAUUUCCGUUGUGUUGAUUAGGAAGUGGGCGAUCAGAAUCCGGAGAUUGGCCAGGCGGAGGGCGAUUUCUGUUAUUGCGAGAGCUAACUGGAGGCGGCGAGGUGUACGGCGGUGGCGGUGGAGCUGGGCCAUUGGCAAAUGCAUUUCCAUCAUAACUGUUUU
rnacentral:lncRNA from 1 species